rnacentral:rRNA from 1 species
AACGAACGCUGGCGGCAGGCCUAACACAUGCAAGUCGAGCGCGCCCUUCGGGGUGAGCGGCGGACGGGUUAGUAACGCGUGGGAAUAUACCCUUUGGUACGGAAUAGCCUCUGGAAACGGAGAGUAAUACCGUAUGAGCCCUUCGGGGGAAAGAUUUAUCGCCAAAGGAUUAGCCCGCGUUAGAUUAGGUAGUUGGUGGGGUAAUGGCCUACCAAGCCUACGAUCUAUAGCUGGUUUAGUAGGAGUGAUCAGCAACAACUGGGACGUGAGACACGGCCCGACGACUCCUACGGGAGGCAGCAGUGGGGAAGUCUUGGACAAUGGGGGCGAACCCCUCGAUCCAGCCAUGCCGCGUGAGUGAUGAAGGCCUUAGGGUCGUAAAGCUCUUUCGCCUGUGAAGAUAAUGACGGUAGCAGGUAAAGAACCCCGGCUAACUCCGUGCCAGCCGCCGCGGAAU